rnacentral:rRNA from 1 species
CCUACGGGUGGCAGCAGUGAGGAAUAUUGGUCAAUGGACGCAAGUCUGAACCAGCCAUGUCGCGUGCAGGAAGACGGCCCUAUGAGUUGUAAACUGCUUUUGUACGAGGGUAAACGCAGAUACGCGUAUCUGUCUGAAAGUAUCGCAUGAAUAAGGAUCGGCUAAGUCCGUGCCAGCAGCCGCGGUAAUACGGAGGAUUCAAGCGUUAUCCGGAUUUAUUGGGUUUAAAGGGUGCGUAGGCGGUCGGAUAAGUUAGAGGUGAAAUGCCGAGGCUCAACUUCGGAAUUGCGUCUGAUACUGUUCGGCUAGAGAGUAGGUGCGGUAGGCGGAAUGUAUGGUGUAGCGGUGAAAUGCUUAGAGAUCAUACAGAACACCGAUUGCGAAGGCAGCUUACCAAGCUACUUCUGACGUUGAGGCACGAAGGCGUGGGGAGCGAACAGGAUUAGAUACCCGGGUAGUC